rnacentral:rRNA from 1 species
AACGUAGGACGCAAGCGUUAUCCGGAAUUACUGGGCGUAAAGCGCGUGUAGGUGGUUGUGCAAGUCACUGUUGAAAGCUCCCGGCUAAACUGGGAGAGGUGCGGUGAGACUGUGCGACUGGAGUAUGGGAGAGGGGUGCGGAAUUCCGGGUGUAGUGGUGAAAUGCGUAGAUAUCCGGAGGAACACCAGAGGCGAAGGCGGCACCCUGGUCUGAUACUGACACUGAGACGCGAAAGCAUGGGGAGCGAACGGG